rnacentral:tRNA from 1 species
AUUUAUAUAGUUUAAAUAAAACAUUACAUUUUCAUUGUAAGAAUAAAAAUAUUAAUUUUUAUAAAUA